AGAGCCAGAGGAGACGAGGAUGAGGAGAGGGAAACGGGGACCCCCUCCCCCGGCCGAACCCCGACCGCAGGCCCGCCCCGCUUUCUCCCGCUCCUCCUCUCCCGGGACUCGCCGCUCGCAGCUGUGCUCGGCCUUCCACGCCACCCGGCCCGGACUCCACCCGCACCCCCGCCCGCCAGGCCUCUUUGGCUCUAACUUGUUCUAGUUUCUUAGGACUCAAACGCUUCGGGUUCGAGAAUCACACCCAAAGGAAAGAAAUUGCAUUUAAGAGGAACUCCUU
rnacentral:lncRNA from 1 species